rnacentral:rRNA from 1 species
CUGAUGCAGCCAUGCCGCGUGUAUGAAGAAGGCCUUCGGGUUGUAAAGCACUUUCAGCGGGGAGGAAGGCGCUCUGGUUAAUACCCUUGGCGAUUGACGUUACCCGCAGAAGAAGCACCGGCUAACUCCGUGCCAGCAGCCGCGGUAAUA